rnacentral:rRNA from 1 species
UCAAGAAUAUUCGACAAUGGGCGAAAGCCUGAUCGAGCGACGCCGCGUGCAGGAAGAAGCCCCUCGGGGUGUAAACUGCUUUUCUCAGGGAAGAAUUUGUGACGGUACCUGAGGAAUAAGAGGUUGCUAACUCUGUGCCAGCAGCAGCGGUAAUACAGAGACCUCAAGCGUUAUCCGGAUUCAUUGGGCGUAAAGCGUCCGCAGGUGGUUUGAAAAGUCAAUAGUCAAAUCCUGGGGCUUAACUUCGGGACUGCUAUUGAUACUGUCAAACUAGAGACUGGGAGAGGCAAGCGGAACUAUCGGUGUAGUCGUAAUAAGCGCUGAUAUCGAUAGGAACACCAAAGGCGAAGGCAGCUUGCUAGAACAGUUCUGACACUCAUGGACCAAAGCGUGGGUAGCGAAAGGG